rnacentral:rRNA from 1 species
UUGGUGCCUUCGGGAACGUCUGACACAGGUGCUGCAUAGCUGUCGUCAGCUCGUGUCGUGAGAUGUUGGGUUAAGUCCGUAACGAGCGCAACCCUUGUCCUUAGUUACCAGCACGUUAUGGUGGGCACUCUAAGGAGACUGCCGGUGACAAACCGGAGGAAGGUGGGGAUGACGUCAAGUCAUCAUGGCCCUUACGGCCUGGGCUACACACGUGCUACAAUGGUCGGUACAAAGGGUUGCCAAGCCGCGAGGUGGAGCUAAUCCCAUAAAACCGAUCGUAGUCCGGAUCGCAGUCUGCAACUCGACUGCGUGAAGUCGGAAUCGCUAGUAAUCGUGAAUCAGAAUGUCACGGUGAAUACGUUCCCGGGCCUU